rnacentral:SRP_RNA from 1 species
GCUGGGAGUGGUGGCGCACGCCUAUAAUCCCAGCUACUUGGGAGGCUGAGGCUGCAGUGAGCCGAGAUUGUGCCACUGCACUCCAGCCUCGGUGACAGAGCAAGAGACUGCUUCAAAAAAAUAAAAAAAGAAGAAGAAUGUAGUAAUAUUCUCUUUUUUUUUUUUUUUUUUUUGAGACAGAGUUUCCCUCUGUUGCCCAAGCUGGAGUGCAGUGGCACGGUCUUGGCUCACUGCAGCCCC